rnacentral:rRNA from 1 species
GUAGGGAAUCUUCCACAAUGGACGAAAGUCUGAUGGAGCAACGCUGCGUGAGUGAAGAAGGUCUUCGGAUCGUAAAACUCUGUUGUUAGAGAAGAACGUGCAUGAUAGUAACUGAUCAUGUAAUGACGGUAUCUAACUAGAAAGCCACGGCUAACUACGUGCCAGCGGCCGCGGUAAUACGUAGGUGGCAAGCGUUGUCCGGGUUUAUUGGGCGUAUAGGGAACGCAGGCGGUUUUUUAAGUAUGAUGUGAAAGCCUUCGGCUUAAGCGAAGAAUAGCAUUAGAAAGUGGCAGACGUGAGUGCAUAAGAGGGGAGUGGAAUUCCAUGGGUAGCGGUGAAAUGCGUAGAUAUAUGGAGGAACACCAGUGGCGAAAGCGGCUCUCUGGUCUGUAACUGACGCUGAGGUUCGAAAGCGUGGGUAGCAAACAGGAUUAGAAACCCUAGUAGUCC